rnacentral:tRNA from 1 species
GGGGUUGUGGCUCAGUGGUAGAGCGCUUGCCUAGCACGUGUGAGGCUCUGGGUUCAAUUCUCAGCACCG